rnacentral:lncRNA from 1 species
CGCGAAAAGAUGAAUAGCUAAAAAGAUAGAAGCCUUAACGAUAUUAGUCCGCGAAGUGGUCAGCCUCGGGCUGAUAGAGAGCAAUUACCUAUGACGGAGUGGGAGAUUUAAGCUUCUCUGAGGGAAGUAUAACAAACUUUAUAGAGCUUCACCGAGCUUUAUUUGAUCUUGACAAGAUACCCGAACUCGGUCGAUUUAUGUUUUACUAAUUUUAUUAUGCCCUUUUCAAUCGGUGAUAUUACUAAGGGCCGAGACAGUUCCAACAAUGAGUUGCAUCCACACCCGUGGAGGGAGCCGGACUGUGAAGGACGAGGAUUGCUUGGCCAGACCUCGGACGCGAACCCGGGUCUUUCUGCAUGGCACGCCAACGCGUUACCACGCGGUCAUUCGGUCGCCGAUCAAUCGAUAUCGUCCUCACGAUCUGUGGCAUUUCUCGUAUGGCAUCUUACACGAAACGGAAAUCUCCAACCCCUUUCUCGAUCGUCUGCGAUCGUUUUAGACAACGUUAGGGAAAGGUAUGCGCUUCGAAUGCUUUUCACCGUAACUAGGACUGAAAUUAGUCUGAAAUAUAGUUAGUGUAGUGGACACGUUGCAAGAAAUUUGCGGCGCGACCGGUUGACGGUGCUGCGACCGAGCUGAUCCUAGUGGUUCUUGUAGCGGCAGUUCUCCGCUACAACGAGGAUCGGCUUGAUCUUGAUUUGCAUGUUAUAUAUUGUUUUUUCUCUGAAAUUUUGAACUAAUUUUUUGACACUGCCUUUCUCUGUUAAUUUCCAGUUAUUCUGCAACACCGCGAACGAGGGGCCGAGAGAGAAGGCUGGCCGAACUGGCCAAGUUUGGUCAGCUUGUAUACUCUGGAGUGGCGACAUAACCCCACCCGGAGCUUGGCAAUCAUUAAAAUUGAGUAACAUGUAGCAAAAUCAAUCCCUGUAGUAACUUUUGAUGGCGCAGCGCCUUAGCCUUUC